AUUGAACGCUGGCGGCAUGCCUUACACAUGCAAGUCGAACGGCAGCACGGACUUCGGUCUGGUGGCGAGUGGCGAACGGGUGAGUAAUAUAUCGGAACAUACCUUGUAGUGGGGGAUAACUAUCCGAAAGGAUAGCUAAUACCGCAUACGCUCUAAGGAGGAAAGUGGGGGAUCGCAAGACCUCAUGCUAUAAGAGUGGCCGAUAUCUGAUUAGCUAGUUGGUGAGGUAAAGGUUCACCAAGGCGACGAUCAGUAGCUGGUCUGAGAGGACGACCAGCCACACUGGAACUGAGACACGGUCCAGACUCCUACGGGAGGCAGCAGUGGGGAAUUUUGGACAAUGGGGGCAACCCUGAUCCAGCAAUGCCGCGUGAGUGAAGAAGGCCUUCGGGUUGUAAAGCUCUUUUGUCAGGGAAGAAACGGUUGUGGCUAAUAUCCAUGGCUAAUGACGGUACCUGAAGAACAAGCACCGGCUAACUACGUGCCAGCCGCCGCGGUAA
rnacentral:rRNA from 1 species